UCGUGCAGCCGGGGCGUUAGCGGUGUCUUGUACCCACAAUCCGCUAUAGUGGGGGUGAUAAACGACGGAGGGUCUGCGUUUGUGCAGCUGCCCUUUAUAAGUGGCGUUGAAGUUUGGGUCUCGCGCAAUAUGUGCCGUUGAACC
rnacentral:SRP_RNA from 1 species